rnacentral:rRNA from 1 species
CAGCAGUCAAGUUGCAUCCCUUUUAUUGGGUCUAAAACAUCCGUAGCUGCCGUUUAAGUCUCUUGUGAAAUCCUACGUCUCAAGCGUGGGGCUUGCAGGAGAUACUGAGCGGCUAGAGAUCGGUAGACGUAAGCAGUACGCCGGGGGUAAUGGUUAAAUAUGUUAAUCCUCGGUGGACUAACAAUGAGCGAAGGCAGCUUACGAGGACGAAUCUGACAGUGAGGGAUGAAGGCCAGGGGCGCAAAACGGAUUAGAUACCCGUGUAGUCCUGGCAGUAAACACUGCUCACUAAACAUCGGGCCCUCUUCGGGAGGAUUCGGUGCUGAAGCGAAGGCGAAGAGUGAGCUACCUGGGAAGUAUAGUCGCAAGAUCGAAACUUAAAGGAAUUGGCGGGGAGACAUACAACGAGUGACGCGUGCGGUUCAAUCAGAUUUUACACCGUGAACCUCACCAGGAGCGACAGCAGGAUGAAGGUCAGUCUAAAGGGCUUACCUGACACGCUGAGCGGAGAUACAAAGCCGACGUCAGCCUGUGCAGUGAUGUGACCUGUUAAAUCAGGUAACAGGCGAGACCCGUGUCGUUAAUUACUACAGAAAUGGGUACAUUAACGAGAUUGCCUUGGUAACAAGGAUGAAAGUGCGGGCUACGUUAGGUGGCUAUGUCCCUAAUCCCCUGGGCUACACGCGCGCGGCAAUGGUAUGUUCAAUGAGAUGCAACUCCGAGAGGAGAAGCUAAUCCCCUAACGCAUAUCUCAGUCCAGAUUGAGGGUUGCAACCCACCCUCAUGACGCUGGAAUUCGUAGUAAUCGGAUAUUAGCACUGUCCGGUGAAUAAGUCCCUGUCUCUU